UCGUUGCCUCCUCUGGUGCUAUAUAUACGUACUACCUGUAUAUUGAUCGUUUUUUUGCGCGAUAGUAUCGAUAGUAUCUAUACUGGUUUGGAGAGAUCGAAGUACAUUUUGCGCGCGAACAUUUUUAAGUUCGACAAGCUUAGAUUCCGGACGUGACCUGUAGAGGGUGCAUUGAUCGUUAAGCACACGUAUAUGAAUUAAUGAAAUAAUUGUGUUUAUAACUAGACUGCGAAUUUUUAUAUAUUUAUAGAAAAUUGGAAGGUGCAAAAAUUUGCAAAGUACGUGUAAUAUGAAGAAGCAUGCCUGUGAAACUUUUAAAAGAACAAUCAGGAUAAUUAAGAAGAUAAUUCCAUUUUGUGAUUUCUGGCAAUACUACCUGCCAGAAUUUUGUUCUCUUGUUUGAAUCGUUGGAAUAAUAAAUUAAUAGAGAACAGUGGUGUAUAAAAUGUAACAGAUACAUUCAAUUUAGACUCAAAUAAAGGAAAGGGAGAUUAUUUAGUAAAGUAUUGUUUAGAAUAACGAGAGGCACAUCUUUUUUCUUAAAUCUUUAACAUUAAGAAAUAAUAUUAUAGAUAUAAUAAAUAUAAUACGUUUCUUUAUUGAAACGUAUCGAAUGACAUUUUGACAUUUGUUUAAAAUAACGAUCUAUAUAAGUGAAAAUGUUUGAUAGUAUAAUAUUCAUAUUAUAUUAAGCUUAUUUCAAGACUGCUACACCGAAAUGUGUUUAGUUUUCACGUCAGGCACUAAAUUAUUUGCCUUGCGAAACUGCGUGUACAUAUUGUAUUUUGUACGUCGAAACUUAAUACAGCUUUUCUCACAUUU